UUAUAUAACUGAUUCGUUACUUGGUUAUACUAUAAAAAGGCACAAUCAAUACUGCCCCUAUUAUUUAAUGCUAAUAUCUACUCUUACUGGUUCAGUGGUUUAAUCACUUCAAGGGUUUCACUCACCAAGAAAAUAUUUGCAGCAUUCCUCAGUUUUACAGUGCUAUUCAUUCAUAUUCAAACCCCUGGAACCUUCACAUACUUUGCCACAAUACAACCGCAAAUUUCAAGAAGUUUUAUGCAGACUUAAAGUAGUGUAUAAUUGUGAAGUAAAAGGAAAAUUAUACAUUAUAGAAAUAUGUUUUUACUGGAAUUACAGUAGCAGUGAUGUGGUCUGUUUCUACCAGCCUUGUACAUCCAAACAGUGAAAUGUGUUCCCAUAUUUUAAUGAAUAGUUCAAACUCAGUGAGCAGUCUGUGCAGAUCGGUUUUCAAGUCUCUUGUCCUCUAUUUUAUUUCCUCUAUACAUUUAUGCAAUUUAAAAAUCAUCUUUAUCUAUUUUCCUGUUGUAGCAAAAUAAUUUCCCACCUGGGUUUAAUAAAGUGUCUGUCUGUCCUCUUGAAAUUGAGGUCAUAUUCCUUGUUUAUUAAAACAUAUUAUUUAUUGGAUUACGGUCUGGACUUUGACUGGACCAUUCCAACCCAUGACUCUGUUUUGACCUUUGUCGCUCUGGAUGGUUCACAUUGUUGUCGUGCAGGAAGGUGAAGCCCCGCCCCCGAUCUCAAAUCCAUCACGGUUUUUCCACCCACCCUGACCAGCAUCCCCGUCCCAGCUGAUGUUGCUUCGCAUUGUUCAAAACGUUGAAGGUCGCAGUAUUUGUACUUUAACAUAUGAACUUGUGAAUGCAUUUAGCAGCAGCGAGAGCCAGCUCAUAUUUCACCGCUCGUCGCACGGCGUGUUUCCUUGGCAGGACAUGACCUCUGCUUUGCCGUUUUAAUAGAACGACGAUGAGACAUUACAUGCUUUGGGAUUACAUUAUGAGGCCGUAGUUUUGCCCACGAAUGAAACGUGAUUCAGAAGAAAUGCCUUCACACCAAUCAGUGUUAUUGAUUUCAACUAGUUACAGAACAAAUUGUCAAAAGCGAUGAGACGGGUUCUGUUUGGUACGCCAAUAAUUCUCAUACGUUUUGCUCCAGAUAGGAGGAAAAUAUCUUGUUCUAGCAAGAAAACAGCAUGCAAACCAACCACUGAAUUUUACACUAUUGUGAGCAGAAUGGGACUCAUUUUCAGCCCUUGAGCUUCAUGUCUCAGACUGGUCCACUUUACACAGCGACCCAUUAUUAUUAAAAUAAUGUAAUUAUAAUGCUCUGUAAAACCUUGUAAUUCAGUGUAUUUUUCUAAAAUAUUUCCAAUUCAGCGCAGGUUAAAGUUUCCUCCUAAUGUAGAUUUAUUUCAACAUGAGAGCCCAUCUCAGAUAAUAUUCUUUGCAACACGUCCUUUUCGAUAAUAUUUUGUACAAAUAAGCAUUCACACAUCCAAAUCCAAAAAAAUGAAAUAAGAGUAAAUAAAAAAAU